rnacentral:lncRNA from 1 species
AUAUAUACACAAGGCUUGCACGAGGGCAAGCAACAACGGAAGCGAAAGCUCUAAGCUAAAUAUACAGCAUACAUGAUAUUUGAUUAAAUUUAAACCAAAUUCAAGUAAAUUAAAACUAUUACAUUUCCACUCAACCAUCAUUUCCUUUUACAUUUAGCCAUCCACCGAAAUUACAUGAUUAUUUACAACUUUACGUCUUGUUAUCAACAAAAGA